GAUCAUUUAUGCCCUGAACAUAUCCACUGGCUGGGUGACGUAUAGCCCAGAUAAACAAAAUUCUUUCAAAGAUCUCUGUGACUUUGGGCUGAAGUCUUAGAACUUCAGGACUCAUGCGCGGGAUAUCUAUAUGAAUCUGUCUAUAGGUAUCUUGAUGACUCUCAUCAUUUCUGGAGUCAUAGUAUUGUUCAACAAAUGCAAAAUACUCUUUUCGUUUUCUUUGUAAAGUGCUUUCUCUUCGGUCCACAUUUGCAGGAAGAUAACCUGAAAGAAGCUUCCACGCAAUGGGACGAACUCGUUUGGGAAUUCCAGACCAACUCAAUUUCCGUAAUUCUUCAAGAUCUGUGUUGGGGCCCGCAAGUAGCUGCUUAAAUUUGUCUAAUCGGGACGCUUCUCUUUCAGUUAAUGCAGGAGUAACUGAGGUAUUGAAGUCUGCCAUUCCACUCACCAAAGGAGGUGUGGAAGUUUGUGGAAGGGACUGUGAUCUCUGCAUGGAAGAAUUUUCACUAGCAUUACCUGAUGAACUUGAUGUAUGACCUUCACUGACUGAUUUAACAAGCCUAUUAUCACCACACGCAACUGAAGUCAGCUCUGCUGAUUCUACUUGUUUUUCUUCCUGUAGAUGCUCUUCCAGAAAUUUAUGCUGUUCUUGUAACUUGCUGUGAUUCUGAAUUACUUUGUGAGCCGUUUCCAUGACCACUUCUGUAUUUAAGUUUUCAGCAGCUAUUGCUAAGAGUUCAUC
rnacentral:lncRNA from 1 species